AACGGUCUAUACCUGCGGUACCUGCGGAGGGAUCAUUAUCAAUUUACAGCGGACUUCGGUCCUGUCUGCACCCUUGUCUUUUGCGUACUAUAUGUUUCCUCGGUGGGCUUGCCUGCCGAUAGGACACUUAUAAACUCUUUUGUAAUUGCAAUCGGCGUCAGAAAACUAUAAUAGUUACAACUUUCAACAACGGAUCUCU
rnacentral:misc_RNA from 1 species